GGGACAUAGCUCAGUUGGUAGAGUUCUUGCCUCGCAUGCAAAGGCUCUGGGUUCAAUCCACAGUACCACCA
rnacentral:tRNA from 1 species